rnacentral:rRNA from 1 species
UACGUAGGGUGCGAGCGUUAAUCGGAAUUACUGGGCGUAAAGCGUGCGCAGGCGGUUCGUUAUGUCCGAUGUGAAAUCCCCGGGCUUAACCUGGGAACUGCGCUUGUAACUGGCAAGCUUGAGUGUGGCAGAGGGGGGUGGAAUUCCACGUGUAGCAGUGAAAUGCGUAGAGAUGUGGAGGAACACCGAUGGCGAAGGCAGCCCCCUGGGCUAACACUGACGCUCAUGCACGAAGGCGUGGGGAGCAAACAGG